rnacentral:tRNA from 1 species
CAAAUUAGAGCUUGAAUGAAGCAUUUUAGUUACAUUAAAAAGUUAAUUGUUUAAUCAAUUUAAUUUGA